UAGCCAUAUCACGUUGAAACACAGGGUCCCGUACGAACAUCGAAAUUAAGCAACAUCGAGCUUGGUCAGUACCGAAAUGGGUGACCACUUGGGAAUACCGGGUGCUGUAA